UACUAUGCAAGCUGUAGGUCCUUGGCAGA
rnacentral:piRNA from 1 species